GACGAACGCUGGCGGCGUGCUUAACACAUGCAAGUCACGGGGGCCUAGCAAUAGGCAACCGGCGAACGGGUGCGUAACACGUGAGCAACCUGCCGCGCUCUGGGGGAUAGCCGGCCCAACGGCCGGGUAAUACCGCAUACGUUCUCCUGGGGGGAGUCCCCGGGAGAAGAAAUCUCCGGAGGAGCGCGAGGGGCUCGCGGCCUAUCAGCUAGUUGGCGAGGUAACGGCUCACCAAGGCAUGACGGGUAGCUGGUCUGAGAGGAUGGCCAGCCACAUUGGGACUGAGAGACGGCCCAGACUCCUACGGGAGGCAGCAGUGGGGAAUCUUGCGCAAUGGCCGAAAGGCUGACGCAGCGACGCCGCGUGUGGGAGGACGCUCUUCGGGUGUAACCACUGUUGCCCGGGACGAAACCGGAGCUUUAGCUCCGUUGACGGUACCGGGUGAGGAAGCGCCGGCUAACUCUGUGCCAGCCGCCGC
rnacentral:rRNA from 1 species